CCUACGGGAGGCAGCAGUGGGGAAUUUUGGACAAUGGGCGCAAGCCUGAUCCAGCAAUGCCGCGUGCAGGAUGAAGGCCUUCGGGUUGUAAACUGCUUUUGUACGGAACGAAACGGCUCUUUCUAAUAAACAGAGCUAAUGACGGUACCGUAAGAAUAAGCACCGGCUAACUACGUGCCAGCAGCCGCGGUAAUACGUAGGGUGCGAGCGUUAAUCGGAAUUACUGGGCGUAAAGCGUGCGCAGGCGGUUAUAUAAGACAGAUGUGAAAUCCCCGGGCUCAACCUGGGACCUGCAUUUGUGACUGUAUAGCUAGAGUACGGUAGAGGGGGAUGGAAUUCCGCGUGUAGCAGUGAAAUGCGUAGAUAUGCGGAGGAACACCGAUGGCGAAGGCAAUCCCCUGGACCUGUACUGACGCUCAUGCACGAAAGCGUGGGGAGCAAACAGGAUUAGGAUACCCUGGUAGUCCACGCCCUAAACGAUGUCAACUGGUUGUUGGGUCUUACCNCUGACUCAGUAACGAGCUACGCGUGAGUUCGACCGCGUGGGGAGUACGGCCGACGAAGGUUAGAAACGUUAAAGGAGUUGACGGNGUAGGAGACGAGACGACGGACGACGACGAGGGAGGAGG
rnacentral:rRNA from 1 species